rnacentral:rRNA from 1 species
AUUGAACGCUGGCGGCAGGCCUAACACAUGCAAGUCGAACGAGUGGCGGACGGGUGAGUAAUGUCUGGGAAACUGCCUGCUGGAGGGGGAUAACUACUGGAAACGGUAGCUAAUACCGCAUACCAUCAGAUGUGCCCAGAUGGGAUUAGCUAGUUUGUGGGGUAACGGAUCACCAAGGCGACGAUCCCUAGCUGGUCUGAGAGGAUGACCGGCAACACUGGAACUGAGACACGGUCAAGACUCCUACGGGAGGCAGCAGUGGGGAAGAUUGGACAAUGGGCGAAAGCCUGAUGGAGCGAUGCCGCGUGUAUGAAGAAGGCCUUCGGGUUGUAAAGUACUUUCAGCGGGGAGGCGGUACCCGCAGAAGAAGCACCGGCUAACUCCGUGCCAGCAGCCGCGGUAAUAC